UGCUAUACUGCAGUCGACGCUUCUUUUUCCACCGGAGCUUGCUCCACCGGAAAAAGAGGAGUGGCGAACGGGUGAGUAACACGUGGGUAACCUGCCCAUCAGAAGGGGAUAACACUUGGAAACAGGUGCUAAUACCGUAUAACAAUCAAAACCGCAUGGUUUUGAUUUGAAAGGCGCUUUCGGGUGUCGCUGAUGGAUGGACCCGCGGUGCAUUAGCUAGUUGGUGAGGUAACGGCUCACCAAGGCCACGAUGCAUAGCCGACCUGAGAGGGUGAUCGGCCACAUUGGGACUGAGACACGGCCCAAACUCCUACGGGAGGCAGCAGUAGGGAAUCUUCGGCAAUGGACGAAAGUCUGACCGAGCAACGCCGCGUGAGUGAAGAAGGUUUUCGGAUCGUAAAACUCUGUUGUUAGAGAAGAACAAGGAUGAGAGUAACUGUUCAUCCCUUGACGGUAUCUAACCAGAAAGCCACGGCUAACUACGUGCCAGCAGCCGCGGUAAUACGUAGGUGGCAAGCGUUGUCCGGAUUUAUUGGGCGUAAAGCGAGCGCAGGCGGUUUCUUAAGUCUGAUGUGAAAGCCCCCGGCUCAACCGGGGAGGGUCAUUGGAAACUGGGAGACUUGAGUGCAGAAGAGGAGAGUGGAAUUCCAUGUGUAGCGGUGAAAUGCGUAGAUAUAUGGAGGAACACCAGUGGCGAAGGCGGCUCUCUGGUCUGUAACUGACGCUGAGGCUCGAAAGCGUGGGGAGCAAACAGGAUUAGAUACCCUGGUAGUCCACGCCGUAAACGAUGAGUGCUAAGUGUUGGAGGGUUUCCGCCCUUCAGUGCUGCAGCUAACGCAUUAAGCACUCCGCCUGGGGAGUACGACCGCAAGGUUGAAACUCAAAGGAAUUGACGGGGGCCCGCACAAGCGGUGGA
rnacentral:rRNA from 1 species